AUCGCUUCUCGGCCUUUUGGCUCAGAUCAAGUGUAGUAUCUGUUCUUAUCAGUUUAAUAUCUGAUACGUCCCCCAUCGGGGGACUACAUAUUAUAUGGAUUUUUCGAACAGGGAUUCGGAAAUGGGGCUUGCUCCGUCCGCUCCACGCAUCGACCCGGUAUUGCAGUACCUCCGGGAACGGUGCAACACUU
rnacentral:snRNA from 8 species